rnacentral:sRNA from 1 species
GCCGGGUGUUGUGGUGCAUGCCUGUAAUCCCAGCCGCUGGGGAGGCUGAGGAAGGAGGAUCAUGAGCUCAAAGUCAGCCUCAGCAGCACCAAGGUGCUAAGAAACUCGGUGAGAACCUGCCUCUA